CACUUCCUCUUGCUCACCAUGCCUUAACUUGAUUCUUUUAUCAGGAAUCCAGAACUUCUUAGUUCCUUCGGGUCCCUGUUCUGUUCAGGCGCCAGAUAUUGAUGUUCUUUGUGAACGGGCUGAGAUGAGCUUGGCGUGCAGGAUUAAGUUUAGAGAAGCAGAGGGCUACCGCUGGCUCAGGCGUGUAGCAAAGCCCCCAAAGCCCUCAUGGCUUUUAUCUGGGGAGUACAGCAAAUAACAAUGGAGUACAGCAAGUGACAAUGAUUAACAGGCAUGCUUAUGAGAUCAUCAGAGCUAAGUUA